UACGGAGGAUGCGAGCGUUAUCCGGAUUUAUUGGGUUUAAAGGGUGCGUAGGCGGAUUUUUAAGUCAGCGGUAAAAUGUCCGGGCUCAACCCGGGCCGGCCGUUGAAACUGGGGAUCUUGAGUGGGCGAGAAGUAUGCGGAAUGCGUGGUGUAGCGGUGAAAUGCAUAGAUAUCACGCAGAACUCCGAUUACGAAGGCAGCGUACCGGCAUCCAACUGACGCUGAGGCACGAAAGCGUGGGGAUCAAACAGG
rnacentral:rRNA from 1 species